CACGCAGGAAGCAAUCCUGCACGGGUCCUGGUGUAAGGCGGCAGCUUCCCGGCCACGCUGCCUUCUCCGGGGCCUCGAUUUACCGGCCACGCCGGAGAGUCCGCUGAGCCCAAGACUGACAGGUCCCGCCCGGGGCCGUCACUGGGCCCUCGUCCCAUCCUCUUCCAGGGGCUCGCCAGCCUACAAAAGCCCCACCGGCCCCCUGUCGCACCCCCCCAAGCGGAGACUGGGCUUCCUGUCUUUUUGCCAUGCACUUGUUGCAGAAGCAGCCAAGGCCCCGGCUCCGGAGGAUGCAGAAGGAGGAAGGCACCAGAGUAGCCCGGCCCUGAACGCACCACCCUCACCUCCUGCAACAGGUAUCGAACUCGGGACCUUGCACUUGGGAGACAGGCACCGGAACCACUGAGCUAAAUCCCUGGCCCUCUCAGGCCUCUUUUAUAAGGACAUUAACCCUGCCUCUUCAUUACCACCUGAAGGCCCCAUCCUGGUAGCAUGGCCUUCCGGGUUAGAAUUUCAGUGUGUACAUUUCAGACCAGGGAUGCUCUUGUUUCCCAUUUAUCAGUUUGGAUUCUUUGAGGCAUGAAAGCAGAACAGCAAACCCAAAGGCUCUCAGAGAACACAGGGGGUUAGUGAGCUCAUGUAGCCAUGGGGUGCAGGGAUAAGGUGGGCUGCAGGGAGAAGAUGAUCCAGCAGCUGAACAGUACCCUAAAUCAUCCAGUUUCUUUCCAUCUCUCCUCCACUUCCACUUUCC
rnacentral:lncRNA from 1 species